rnacentral:rRNA from 1 species
UACGGGGGGAGCAAGCGUUGUUCGGAUUUACUGGGCGUAAAGGGCGCGUAGGCGGCCACCGCAAGUCGACUGUGAAAUCUCCGGGCUUAACCCGGAAAGGUCAGCCGAUACUGCGGGGCUAGAGUGCAGAAGGGGCAACUGGAAUUCUCGGUGUAGCGGUGAAAUGCGUAGAUAUCGAGAGGAACACCUGCGGCGAAGGCGGGUUGCUGGGCUGACACUGACGCUGAGGCGCGAAAGCUAGGGAGCAACGGG